ensembl:lncRNA
AUUUCCUUCUGGAACACGUGUUAUGUGCUGCUGGGAAGGGAUAGCUCAGUGAACUGUAUGACAAGCAACAUGUCAUCUCUACAAGAACAUGUAACUGUAAGUAGGAAAAAGUCCCAUCUGGACGUUGAUAUUCAGAAGCAUCAGAAGGAUACUGCCAUUCUCCAGCUGUGGAACUGAGCACAGAGCACUCCUCUGCAUGCCUGCAGCUUUGAACGUAUUUAAUAGUCAGAGAAUCGAAAUUCUGGUUAUCAUACUCCUGUCUUCCUAAAACCCAAUGUUGCACUUGGAAAUGCAGUUCCAAAUCCCCAGGGAAAGUGGUAGGAAUAUAUCAACAAUAACUUAAUAACCAAAGCCUCAACAAAAUAGCUACUGCUCUCUCCCUGGUGAUCAGCUUCCCUCGGGUUACCUGCAGGAUGCUGACAUGAGCAGUUCUCAUCUCCAUAUAGAAGAAGAAGCUGGGGAAGGCACAUUUGUUUCUAAGAAAAUAAAACUAAUCACUUUGAAUGAUACACUAACAGCAUUUUUUACAGCUUUUACAAGAGGACUUUAGCAUUAGGUAAAAGGAGCCUUCAAAAUUAUGGCACCAAAUCAAGACAAAACACUGAAGGAGAUGUCUGGCACUACACUAACUUCUCCAGGGACCAUAUCUGUGCUUUGGAAGAUCAGUAGCUGAGGCAUGUACUGAGGCUGAGCUGUAAUGGGAAAUAUGAUCCCAUGGAGGAAGUGAAUGUUGCAAUGCUUUAUCAUGUGCUUUGCCAACCUGUGUCUCAAGGCCAUGUUGCCACAUUUUACAUUGAACAGAUUACUCAAUUUGCUAAAAUUAGAUUUCUCACCAUCUAAGGAAUCGAUAUUACUGUUUUGCGAUCCCUUCCCUCAUUAUACAGAAUUAAAAUUGGUCAGUCAAUCAUAUCAAACUUCCAUGCACCUCGCAUGACUCCAUCAAUUAUUUUAAGGGUGGAACUGAUACAGGGUUUUUCUGCCAUUUUCUUCUCUCUACCACAAUCACAGGUUCAUUUAUUGGUGUAAUUUUGGAUUUAAUAAAACUUGAUACUUUAAGAAACUCAGAAACACUGAACUGGGUUAAUAUGCUGCAUACCUUCUAUGUCUGUGGUUGCCCUUUUAAAGGCAGUUCAGUCCACCUUCAUCUGUGCAACUUUGGCUAUCUCAGAAUCUCAGAAUUAUACGAUGGCUGAGUUUGGAAGAGACCUCUGUGUCCCUCAGGCCCAAUCCCUGCUCCAGCAGGAACACCCAGAGCAGGGUGUCCAGCGCCACAUCCAGGUGGCUUUGGAAGAUCUCCAAGGAGGAGACCCCACAGCCUCUUUGCAGCCUGUGCCAGUGCUCCGUCACCUGCACAGCACAGCAGUGCUCCUGGUGGUCAGAAGGAAUCUCCUGUGUGCCAGCGUGACCAUUGCCUCUUGUCCUGGCACUGGACACCACCGAGCAGAGCCUGACUCCAUCCUCUUUGCACCCUCCCUUCAGACAUUUAUAGAUACUAAUGAGAUCCCACUGAGUCUCCUCUUCUUCAGAAUUAGCAGACCCAGCUCCCUCAGCCUCACCUCUCUCUACUGUUGUAGAAUUCCUUUUCCUCAGUCCCACAGAGUUGUACUCUGUAAUAAUUAAACAUUAACAUAACUUAAAUCAUGAGGUGGUAGGUAAUGUGUUUCAGUAGUGGUGGCAGUGACAAUUAAGACAAGUCAUGUUCCAGAUGGCAUUGCACAGUUGUCACAGCACAAAAUGAAGAGUAUCUCAAUCUGCUCAUCCACAUGAAUUGGUAGAUUACAACUAGGGCAAUGUGUACAGAGCUGAAUAUAGAUAUAGAAUAUAGAUAUAUAGAAUAUGUGUACAGAGCUUUAAUGUGUUGGAAACAAUGGUGACAACAUUGGAAUAUCACGAAGUUUGUCCCAGAUGGGUUCCGUAAAUGCUCCCACAGAAAGAGGGAGAACACUGCACAUUUGUCAGGACCUACAGAAUAAAUAUGAGGCUGCAGGUGGCAGUUUCCUGGAUUGCAUCAUUACCAGUGAUGAGAUGUGGUGUCACCAUUAUGAGCAGGAGUCAAAACAGCCGUGCAUGGAGUGGUGACGUGAAUCCCCCAUCAAAGAAAAUGUUCAAGAUGCAGUCCUCAGCAGGUACAGUGACAUGCACUGCCUUUUAGGACAGAAAAGGGACGAUACUUCUGGAUUUCCUGAAACCCAGAUAAACCACUAAUUCUGACCACUAUAUUGCAAUUCUAAGGUGAAGGCUCAAACUUCCAGAGUCAGGUCACAGAAGACGACAACGGUUCUCUUGCAACACAAUAACACCAGGCCCCUUACCAGUUUGAAAACCAUGGAUCACACUGCCAAUUUUGGCUAGACUGUCUGACCACACCCACCGUAUAGUCCUGAUUUAGCACCUUCUGACUUGCAUCUGUUCUUUCCAAUGUCAGACAGUGUGGGCAACAUUUUCCCAGCAACACCGUCAUAGCAGCUGUGAAACAGUGGGUUGCCUCCACUGGUGCAGAUUUUUAUAAGCACGACAUGCAGGCUCUUUUUCUUCUCUGGGGAAAAUGUACAGCUACUGGUGGUGACUGUGUUGAAAAACAGUGUUUUGUAGCUGAGAAUGUGCUCUAUCAAAUGGUAUUAUUGCGCUGUUUGCAUCAGUUGUACUUCCCAUGGAAAUAAAUAGA